UACGUAGGUGACCAGCGUUGUCCGGAUUUACUGGCGUAAAGAGCGCGCAGGCGGUCGUUCAAGUCGAGUGUGAAAGCCCCCGGCUCAACUGGGGAGGGUCACUCGAUACUGAUCGACUUGAAGGCAGGAGAGGGAAGCGGAAUUCCCGGUGUAGUGGUGAAAUGCGUAGAUAUCGGGAGGAACACCAGUGCGGAGGCGGACUACCUGGCCUGUUCUUGACGCUGA
rnacentral:rRNA from 1 species